rnacentral:rRNA from 1 species
UAUUGGACAAUGGGCGCAAGCCUGAUCCAGCCAUGCCGCGUGAGUGAUGAAGGCCCUAGGGUUGUAAAGCUCUUUCAACGGUGAAGAUAAUGACGGUAACCGUAGAAGAAGCCCCGGCUAACUUCGUGCCAGCAGCCGCGGUAAUACGAAGGGGGCUAGCGUUGUUCGGAAUUACUGGGCGUAAAGCGCACGUAGGCGGAUACUUAAGUCAGGGGUGAAAUCCCGGGGCUCAACCCCGGAACUGCCUUUGAUACUGGGUAUCUCGAGUCCGGAAGAGGUGAGUGGAAUUCCGAGUGUAGAGGUGAAAUUCGUAGAUAUUCGGAGGAACACCAGUGGCGAAGGCGGCUCACUGGUCCGGUACUGACGCUGAGGUGCGAAAGCGUGGGGAGCAAACAGG